rnacentral:lncRNA from 1 species
UUGUACAUAAUGUUGCUGCUAACGUCUCUGCUCACCUCAAAUUCUAUGAUUUUUUUUAUUUUAUGAGUCGGAUGGGAAGGAUAUACUCCGAACAACCAAACAGACCCUCAUCCUCGUCAUUCGCUAGAGAAAGAAACUGAGAUUUCAGGGGACGAAUGGCUAAUCUGCCCAUCCGUAGUGUUAGUUAACGUUGGAAAACCUAUAUACAGGGGGUACCGGUACAGAGUCAAUGUGGAGGCUAUAUACAGGGGGUACCGGUACAGAGUCAAUGUGGAGCCUAUAUACAGGGGGUACCGGUACAGAGUCAAUGUGGAGGCUAUAUACAGGGGGUACAGGUACAGAGUCAAUGUGGAGGCUAUAUACAGGGGGUACAGGUACAGAGUCAAUGUGGAGGCUAUAUACAGGGGGUACCGGUACAGAGUCAAUGUGGAGCCUAUAUACAGGGGGUACCGGUACAGAGUCAAUGUGGAGGCUAUAUACAGGGGGUACCGGUACAGAGUCAAUGUGGAGCCUAUAUACAGGGGGUACCGGUACAGAG